rnacentral:rRNA from 1 species
UACGGGGGGGGCAAGCGUUGUUCGGAAUUACUGGGCGUAAAGGGUGCGUAGGCGGGUCUUUAAGUCAGGGGUGAAAUCCUGGAGCUCAACUCCAGAACUGCCUUUGAUACUGAGGAUCUUGAGUUCGGGAGAGGUGAGUGGAACUGCGAGUGUAGAGGUGAAAUUCGUAGAUAUUCGCAAGAACACCAGUGGCGAAGGCGGCUCACUGGCCCGAUACUGACGCUGAUGCACGAAAGCGUGGGGAGCAAACAGG